UGCGUAGGUGGCUAUUUAAGUCGGAUGUGAAAGCCCGGGGCUCAACCUCGGAUUGCAUUCGAUACUGGGUGGCUAGAGUUCGGUAGAGGGCGGCGGAAUUUCCGGUGUAGCGGUGAAAUGCGUAGAUAUCGGAAGGAACAUCAAUGGCGAAGGCAGCCGCCUGGGCCUGGACUGACACUGAGGCACGAAAGCGUGGGUAGCAAACA
rnacentral:rRNA from 1 species